rnacentral:tRNA from 1 species
AUUCAUGCCUCCGUGCCUAACGAACACGGCUCUCUCA